UUUUUUCUUUUUAGAGUAGGCUCCGUGCCCAGUGUAGAGCCCAGCGCAGGCUCUGAACUCCCAACCCUGAGACUGAGACCUGAGCUGAUAUCAAAUUGGACACUUAGCUGACUGAGCCACCCAGGGCCCUGAGUUUUCAGUUUUAAAGUGACUUUUCCCCUUUAAUUUCUAAUGCUUUGCUGAAUUGUUACUGAUCUUUUAAAAUCUUUCAUCUACUUAUCUGAGCUUUUCUAAUUUUUAUAGCUUUCAUAAUUUUCUUAAACUUUUAUAGCUUGGUUUAAAACCAUUUUUAUGUUUUUAAGGAUAAUUCUGUUUCCUAUUUUUGUAUUAAAUUCUACAAUUCUGUUGUUUGCUUCUAUGUGAAAUGCAUUUUCCUGUACUUUUAGGGAGGUAGAAAGGACAAAUUAACUUUUCUGGCCCCAAGGUCCAUUCAAUUCUAUUAUUUUCACAAAAUGACCUGAGAUUCUGCUUCUGAUUCUCUCCUUCAUUUCACUCUAUACAUGGUCUUUCCUUUGUCCCUACUAUCCCUGUCCUGAUCAAUUUGGUGUCUAUAGCUAGCAGUUCCUCCUUAAUUGAGGUGUUUGGAAAUAAAGCUUCUGUUAGUUUCAAGAUUUCAGAAGAACCAAAAAGAAAAAGUUCAUAUGGACUGAGACUACUCCCAAAAUCUUCAGAACUUAGCACAGUCCCCUUAAAUUCACCAGCUGACAUCUGCAGGAACCUUCUGUUUGGGUUGUUUCCAAAUUAGCCUGCCAUGCUUUCUAGUGGAAAUCUGUUGAUUUGGGGGAUCUCUUGAUUUUCAAGGCUAUCAGAUGUCCCACUGCUUUUCCUCCAUGGCUUUCUAAAGAUAGCCAAUACCAUUCAGGAUUGGUUUUGAGUUUGUCACUACCUAAUCUUAUUUGGGGACUAUGGGGAUACACGGUCACCAAGAUUGGUUGUAGAUGCUGGGCAUCAAUUUCUACUUCAAUGGAUUUGGGGAGAUUAAAAAACUAUACUAUUUCUGUGAUCUUCUGUUCUUUUUUUUUUAAUUUUAAUUUAAUUUUAUUUUUCUUUUAUGAGAGAGAGAGAGAGAGAGAGAGAGAGAGAGAGAGAGAGAGAGAGAGAGAGGCAGAGACAUAGGCAGGAGAAGCAGACUCCAUGCACCGGGAGCCUGACGUGGGAUUUGAUCCUGGGUCUCCAGGAUAGCGCCCUGGGCCAAAGGCAGGCGCCAAACUGCUGCGCCACCCAGGGAUCCCUCUUCUGUUCUUUAAUACACUUCUGGUGGUUAAUCUUUUAUUUGGGAACAUUUCUGACAAGUUUGUAUAGGAGUUAGUAGAGCACAGUGAUUGGGAGCACGGGCUAGUCACACUGCCUAGAUAUAAAUCCUACGUUCACCAUUUACUAACUGUGUGAUCCGUAUCCCCCUUUUUUUUUUUGUUUCCUGUGUAAAACAAUAGGUUGUUGAGAGAUCUAACUGAAACAACCUAAGUAAAGCACUGAACAGAGUACUAU
rnacentral:lncRNA from 1 species